UGUAAGGCAAAGCGAGGGGAGGAGCGAGCGCGGGGCUUCGGCCCGGGGCACGGCAGCGGUGCGGGGAGGGAGAGGGGGGCAGCACCCCGAACCCCUGCGUGCCAGGAGGGACCCCCACACCAGCACCUCUCCCAGCCUUCCUCCUCUUCUCCCCCAGGCUCUGUGCCCAGCGGCGAACCCAGCUCUCCCUGCAAACCCUUCGGGAGCCGGCAGCCCCUUGCGCUGCCCCGGGAGAGGGGAAACUGAGGCACGGCACGACUGUCGCGACUCGCCCACGGCCCUCAGGCCGGCCCCUGUCGGGGUUUCACCCCGACCGCCCGAGAAGACCGAGAGCCCAGGAACGGGUCAAACAGGGCCAACAGGCAGCCCCGAACCCCACCAUCCCCUGCCCAUCACCGGCCCCCUUCGCUGGGGCAGCGCGACCCUGUGCCCAAGCACCAUCCCCGGCACCCGGCCUGGACAGGAGUGUCCAUUUCUGCUUACCCAUUGGCAAGAGAAAGGAGCCCACAUCUCUAUAGAAGAGAGUUGAAAAAGCUUCAGACAGGCUCUCUGCCCUUGACAAAGCUUUGAUAUUUUGAAGGUGAAGCUUUCCUCAACCAGCUGUUCUGAGGAAGACUUGGGUAUUCAAGACUUUUUGUUCUGACUUGGAAACAACUGAAAGUGCUGGAAUUUCCCACUUUUG